UACAGAGGGGGCAAGCGUUAUUCGGAAUUAUUGGGCGUAAAGGGCGCGUAGGCGGCUUUGCAAGUGGCGGGUGAAAUCCCUCGGCUUAACCGAGGAACUGCCUGUCAAACUGCAUGGCUUGAGACCAGGAGAGGUGAGUGGAAUUCCCAGUGUAGCGGUGAAAUGCGUAGAUAUUGGGAGGAACACCAGUGGCGAAGGCGGCUCACUGGACUGGUACUGACGUUGAGGCGCGAAAGCGUGGGGAGUAAACAGG
rnacentral:rRNA from 1 species